rnacentral:rRNA from 1 species
AUCUGGACGGCGGAAUUCAGGAUGACGGUCGCGUCUCUAGCGGGCGCGCUCGUCGUUUGAUAUUUCCGUCGUCGCGCGCAGACGUCGCGACCUGUUCGUUCGUCGGUCCCUGUUCGAAGGAGUCGCGUUCGAGCUCGUUGUGGGUGGGCGUUUCGGCGCGUUACCGCACGGCGAAGACGCGAUUUUUCUGGCCGACGACGGACAGUACGUAAGGGUGUCCGACGCCGUUGUACUCGUACACGCGGUCGUCGGUACCGGUCGGCGACGAAUUCUUCGGGCCUCUUUCCGACCCGUCUUGAAACACGGACCAAGGAGUCUAACAUGCGCGCGAGUCGCGGGGUGUCGAACGUACCACGGUGCGUUCGUUACGUUGCGAAACCCGUACACGUGGAAGGCGUAAUGAAAGUGAAUAGGGAAGAUGGUGUUCCGAGUUCACGUUUCCGCGAUCGUCGGUAUCGCGGCCGGACACCCGCAUUCCCGGGGCGUCUCAACGGCCCGUCGCGGAUGCGGACGGUCGACUCUCGGGUCGGUCGUCGGUUCGCGACGAACCGA